UGGUGGUGCAGUGGUUAGAAUGCAGUACUGCAGGCUAUUUCUGUUGACUGCCGGCUGCCAGCAAAAUCUCACCAGGCUCAAGGUUGACUCAGCCUUUCAUCAUUCCGAGAGCCAUUUUCUUGAAAAGAAAGAGAAAGAAGCCUGAGAAGAGAUGUGUCUGCGCACAGUGGGCAACUUCCAACAAAAUAUCAUCUCAAGCUGGGUUGUGCUAGCUUCAUUAAGUCCUGGUUUAGGAAGUUACAGAAGAUUUGUCCCAAAUCCUCUGCAGAAGGAGAUGACUACCCACGAGCUGCAGAUGAUCCCUAAUACCAAUCAACUUUUGUUGUGCUUUUGGGACGAAAGAGGCUACCUUAUUUGUUCCUGAUUUGAAUGUAAUGAACAAUCUUUACCUCAGUAGCAUCUUGAAGAACUUU